GAUGAACGCUGGCUACAGGCUUAACACAUGCAAGUCGAGGGGAAACGACGGGGAAGCUUGCUUCCCCGGGCGUCGACCGGCGCACGGGUGAGUAACGCGUAUCCAACCUGCCUCUGACUGAGGGAUAACCCGUCGAAAGUCGGCCUAAUACCUCAUGGCAUCGUCUGCGGGCAUCCAACGACGAUUAAAGAUUUCAUCGGUCAGGGAUGGGGAUGCGUCUGAUUAGCUUGUUGGCGGGGUAACGGCCCACCAAGGCUACGAUCAGUAGGGGUUCUGAGAGGAAGGUCCCCCACAUUGGAACUGAGACACGGUCCAAACUCCUACGGGAGGCAGCAGUGAGGAAUAUUGGUCAAUGGGCGGGAGCCUGAACCAGCCAAGUAGCGUGCAGGAUGACGGCCCUAUGGGUUGUAAACUGCUUUUAUGCGGGGAUAAAGUGAGGGACGUGUCCUUCAUUGCUGGUACCGCAUGAAUAAGGACCGGCUAAUUCCGU
rnacentral:rRNA from 1 species